rnacentral:rRNA from 1 species
UGGGGAAUAUUGCGCAAUGGGGGCAACCCUGACGCAGCGACGCCGUGUGAGGGAAGAAGGCUUUCGGGUCGUAAACCUCUGUCAGGAGGGAAGAAACCCUUGGGGUCGAACAGGUCCCUUGGCUGACGGUACCUCCAGAGGAAGCACCGGCUAACUCCGUGCCAGCAGCCGCGGUAACACGGAGGGUGCGAGCGUUAAUCGGAAUCACUGGGCGUAAAGCGCACGUAGGCGGCCAGGUCAGUCAGAUGUGAAAGCCCACGGCUCAACCGUGGAAUUGCAUUUGAAACUGCUUGGCUGGAGUCUCGGAGAGGGCGGCGGAAUUCCCGGUGUAGGAGUGAAAUCCGUAGAUAUCGGGAGGAACACCAGUGGCGAAGGCGGCCGCCUGGACGAGCACUGACGCUGAGGUGCGAAAGCGUGGGGAGCAAACA